AUGUACACAGGUCUGAACAUGAGGACCAUGACCCCUGACUACGACACUCUGGCAAAUGUCCAUCCUGACCCUAACAGUGACCCCAACAGUGACAUGUACAAACCUCUGAACAUGAAGACCAGGUCACCAGAGUAUGACACCCUGGCAGUGUGUGUGUGUGUGUGUGUGUGUGUGUGUGUGUGUGUGUGUGUGUGUGUGUGUGUGUGUGUGUGUGUGUGUGUGUGUGUGUGUGUGUGUGUGUGUGUGUUCACUAUGUCUUCUUUUAUAAUGUGAGGGGAAUCUCCCACUGAAGAGAAACACCACAGAACCUGGACUGAAGAGAAACACCACAGAACCUGGCCUGAAGAGAAACACCACAGAUCCUGGACUGAAGAGAAACACCACAGAUCCUGGNNNNNNNNNNNNNNNNNNNNAGAAUCUUCUCAGGUUUUGACCUGCCAUUUGAGUUAUUUUAUACUCACAGACACCAUUCUAAACAGUUUUAGAAACUUUGGAGUGUUUUCUAUCCAAAGCCAAUAAUUAUAUGCAUAUUGUAGUUACUGGGCAGGAGUAGUAACCAGAUUAAAUCGGGUACGUUUUUUAUCCAGCCGUGUCAAUACUGCCCCCCAGCCCUAACAGGCUAAGUCAUGUUUUGCAGAGGGGUCAAAUACUUAUUUCCCCCAUUAAAAUGUAAAUCAUUUUAUAACAUUUUUGACAUGCAUUUUUCUUGCUUUUUUUGUUCAAUCAAGUUCAUAUUUAUAUCAAAAACCAGCUUUUUACAUUAGCAUGUGACGUUCAGAACUAGCAUACCCACCGAACACUUCCGGUGAAUUUACUAAAUUACUCACGAUAAACGUUCACAAAAAACAUAACAACAACAACUCAUCAGUCUUUGAUUCUCUCUCUCUUCUCUCUCUCUCUCUCUCUCUCUCUCCACAGAGUGUCCGUCCUGACUGUAACAGUGACACGUACACAGGUCUGAACAUGAGGACCAUGUCCCCUGACUAUGACACUCUGGCAGUAAGUCUCUUAUAAUUCAUUUUGUUUGUUAGUGUGUUUGAUUUAUACAGUACUUGAAUGUGUAUAGAGAAAAUGAUAGAAAGACUAAUGUCUCAAUGAACUCAUGCAUUUCCUCUCUCCAACUCCAUCUUUCCUUCUCUCUCUCUCUCUCUCUCUCUCUCUCUCUCUGUCCACAGAAUGUCCAUCCUGACCCAACAGUGACAUGUACACACCUCUGAACAUACUGAAGAGAAACACCACAGAACCUGGCCUGAAGAGAAACACCACAGAUCCUGGACUGAAGAGAAACACCACAGAUCCUGGCCUGAAGAGAAGCACCACAGAUCCUGGACUGAAGAGAAGCACCACAGAACCUGGCCUGAAGAGAAGCACCACAGAUCCUGGCCUGAAGCGAAGCACCACAGAUCCUGGACUGAAGAGAAGGACCAUACAACCUGGACAGAAGAGCUAAGGUUCCAAUCCAAAGCCUGGCCUCAAACCUAUAUUCUCUUGCUACCAUAUCUAGAAGGUUUUCCAGACCAUGACCUCUAACUUUACACUAAAUGCUGGAAUAGAUUUGUAUUUUCUUAUAAUGAUAAUGAUGUAUAUUGAUGAUAAAUUAGAUGGGUUAUAUUUUUCAAUUUCUAUAUUUUUGAUGAUAUAAAUGUCCUACUUUUCUUGAGUACCAAUCUGUUUAUUAUCUAUAGUUUAAGAUUAUAUUUCUGAUCUUUUUCUAUGGAAUUUAGCCAUUUAGGGAUUUCUAACAUCAAUAGUCCUACUUUCCUCAGCAACUAAUAUGGAUAAUAUUGAUAAAAGCUUUUUAAUAUUUUUAGCUCUUGGGCCAAGUUUCUCCUGAUGUGGUUAAUGAUGAUUUACUUUGUAUUGCUGUCAGACAUUAUUCUGCAUUUUAUAUUUAAUAUUAUGUAAUACUAUAUUGUUCAGUGUGAUAUUGCUUGUUUUUUUAUCAAAAUAAAUGUAAUCAAUACAUUACAUACAGUUUUUACAGUGUGGUUCAGUGUCGUACGUUUCUAUUGCUGUCAGACAUUAUUGCACAUUUUAUAUUCAUUAUUAUUUUAUAUUAGGUAA
rnacentral:lncRNA from 8 species